CCCUUAGAUGUCCUGGGCUGCACGCGCGCUACACUGAUGUGUCCAGUAAGCACCUAACCUCUUCCGAAAGGAACGGGUAACCUUUGCAAAGCACAUCGUGAUGGGGAUAGAUUAUUGCAAUUAUUAGUCUUGAACGAGGAAUUCCUAGUAAGCACAAGUCAUCAGCUUGUGUUGAUUACGUCCCUGCCCUUUGUACACACUGCCCGUCACUCCUACCGAUUGAAUGUUCCGGUGAGCUCUUCGGACUGCGCGGUCUGCAGUUUCUGCGUUCCGUGCGGAAAGUUGCGCAAACCUUAACAUUUAGAGGAAGGAGAAGUCGUAACA
rnacentral:rRNA from 1 species